UUUGGUCCUCGGUAGUGGUUUCCGGAAAACGAUUUUCCGUGAACUUCGAUCGAAGAUCCAU
rfam:Actinobacterium SCGC AAA027-L06 A27L6_contig00022, whole genome shotgun sequence.